rnacentral:tRNA from 1 species
CUGGGGCUGGCUCAGUGGUAGAACCCUCACCUGGCACGUGUGAGGCACUGGGUUCGAUCCUCAGCACCACA